rnacentral:rRNA from 1 species
GAUGAACGCUGGCGGCGUGCCUAAUACAUGCAAGUCGAGCGAAUGGAUUAAGAGCUUGCUCUUAUGAAGUUAGCGGCGGACGGGUGAGUAACACGUGGGUAACCUGCCCAUAAGACUGGGAUAACUCCGGGAAACCGGGGCUAAUACCGGAUAACAUUUUGAACCGCAUGGUUCGAAAUUGAAAGGCGGCUUCGGCUGUCACUUAUGGAUGGAUCCGCGUCGCAUUAGCUAGUUGGUGAGGUAACGGCUCACCAAGGCAACGAUGCGUAGCCGACCUGAGAGGGUGAUCGGCCACACUGGGACUGAGACACGGCCCAGACUCCUACGGGAGGCAGCAGUAGGGAAUCUUCCGCAAUGGACGAAAGUCUGACGGAGCAACGCCGCGUGAGUGAUGAAGGCUUUCGGGUCGUAAAACUCUGUUGUUAGGGAAGAACAAGUGCUAGUUGAAUAAGCUGACACCUUGACGGUACCUAACCAGAAAGCCACGGCUAACUACGUGCCAGCCGCCGCAUAA